rnacentral:rRNA from 1 species
AGGAAAUAGAUACCCAGGUAGUCCUGGCUGUAAACGAUGAGCACUAGAUCGAGGGCCUGCACAGGCUCUCGGUCGUAGCGAAAGUGUUAAGUGCUCCGCCUGGGGAGUAUGGUCGCAAGGCUGAAACUCAAAGAAAUUGACGGGGGCUCACACAAGCGGUGGAGGAUGUGGCUUAAUUCGAGGCUACGCGAAGAACCUUAUCCUGGUCUUGACAUGUUUUAGAACUCUCCUGAAAGGGAGAGGUGCCCGCAAGGGAGCUAUUGCACAGGUGCUGCAUGGCUGUCGUCAGCUCGUGUCGUGAGAUGUCGGGUUAAGUCCCUUAACGAGCGAAACCCUUGUCACUAGUUGCCAGCGAGUAAUGUCGGGGACUCUAGUGAGACUGCCGGUGUUAAACCGGAGGAAGGUGGGAUGACGCCAAGUCCUCAUGGCCCUUAUGACCAGGGCUGCACACGUCCUACAAUGGCGCGUACAAAGCGAUGCAAACUCGUGAGAGCCAGCAAAUCGCACAAAGC